rnacentral:lncRNA from 1 species
AUUGGAGAGGCCCGGAUCCAGCCUAGAGAUCCGACAGGGCGAGGAGGAGAAGCGGACUGCCGUAGCUGAAGAGUCUGGACGCUGAUUGGCCUAUUUGCCUUCGGGGCGGGUCCAGAACGUUCAAACUUCCCGCCCUCUGCCGUUGCUUAGCAGCCGGGCCUCUAGCACUCACUGUUUCUGGGAUUUGAUUGGCGCAGUGGGAAGCCCGCGAGAAGGUCGGACCAGGAGGUGGAAGCAUUCGAAUUACAUCAAAUUCUGGCAGAGAGAAGUAGUUCUGAUCAGAACACUCACACCCCUACUGGGACAUGCCCAUACCCCUUCGCACUUCUACACACCCCUGAAGACAGAGAGGAUGUUACAGUUCAAGGGAACGAACACCAAAGAUAGCCUUUCUGUCGGGAGGAGAGAAAAAGGCCCUCCCACAAGCAGGAGAAAACCCACAGAAGAGGAAGCACAAGAGGAAACCACCAACUGCUGGUUUCCAGCAGCACAUCACGUCACUCCACCCCACUCCUCCCCCAAGUCUCUCCCUUUCUUUAAGUUUCAAGCUCUGUUUUAGUUCUGUGUUCUUGCACUCCACCAUGGUUUUCUGGAACUGUAGGUCUUUUGUUGGACAGAGGGUGAUGAGGAGGAUAGAGAAGGGAUGGUUGGACAGGAGAGAAAUUCAGGAUAUGGAGGCUGGAAUUCUGGGUUUAUUUUUUCAGCAGGUCAUAAAGGUUUAAUAGAAAUCAAGGUUACUGGAGAGAGAGCUGCUCCUCCUAUGUCCUCCCUGCUUAUUUAUUUAGGUGUCCCCAAGGACUCUACUCCCACUAUUCUGUCUGAUCUUUCUUUAUCCCCAUGACAGGACCAGCUAACAACACCCCUACCCCACCCCCUAUACACAUACUUCAGGAUCGGGCCAUGAUAAUCCCACCCCUCUGCCCCAUCUCCAAGGCAACCUGUCAGUGAGACGAGGACAAAGGGCACAGGAAGGGGCCCCAAUAGGAAACAUAAGUGGAAGCACAAAGCUGACCAAGCUACAGGAACAGACCCCUCCCUGCAACAAAGCCCCUUGCCUCGGCUUUAUGUUUCCUUCGCAAAAGACUUCGUCAUCUCCCUUCCCAUCCCUAACUCUACUUUCUUUUUCUUUUCUUCUUCUUCUUUUUUUUUUUU